rnacentral:rRNA from 1 species
AAUGAACGCUGGCGGCGCGCCUAAUACAUGCAAGUCGAGCGAGAAGACGUAGCAAUACGUUUGUAAAGCGGCGAACGGGUGAGGAAUACAUGGGUAACCUACCCUAGAGUGGGGAAUAACUAGCCGAAAGGUUAGCUAAUACCGCGUACGCUCCUUGGACUUCGGUUCAGGGAGGAAAGCGAUACCGAGGGUAUCGCGCUCUUGGAUGGGCUCAUGUCCUAUCAGCUUGNGGUGAGGUAACGGCUCACCAAGGCUUCGACGGGUAGCUGGUCUGAGAGGACGAUCAGCCACACUGGCACUGCGACACGGGCCAGACUCCUACGGGA